rnacentral:misc_RNA from 1 species
GCAGUUGCAGUUGAUAAAUUCAAAUGUUAUGCUCUGCAUUUGCAUUUGUUGUUGUUGUUGUUGUUGUUGUUUUUGCCGUACACGUUGCAAGGGCUUGGACAGGGCAAAAUGGAACAGGAGAUUGGCACCUGGGACUCAGUUCUGCUGGAAAACCUGUCCGAGGAUAGCUUCAUAAGCAACAUACAUCAGCGUUACAAGCGCGACCAUAUAUAUACCUACAUUGGAACUUCUGUUGUGGCUUUGAAUCCAUAUCAUCACAUAUCUGAGCAUUCGUUGGAGAAUAUACGCAACUAUGGCAAUAAAGGCAUUUUUCAGCUGCCACCACACAUCUAUGGGCUUACCAAUUUGGCUUAUCAAUCUCUCAAGGAUCAGAGCGAGGAUCAGUGCGUGCUGCUCACUGGCGAGGGAGGCGCUGGCAAAACGGAGACCUUUAAAAUGAUUGUCAAUUUUCUUACACACAUACAGGAUCGUGCGCCUUGCACUGGCACCCCAAAUGAACUACGCAAGCAGUCCUCCGGCAGCUCGACGAGCGGCAUGGGCAUACAUGCCCACCGACGCGCCUCGAGCAGCUGCUCUGGCACCGCUAAUUUUAUCAUAUGCAAAAACAACGCAGCUUCCGCAAACAGUCAAGGCAGCACAUCCAAUUCACGUCGCCAGUCGCCGUCACCGGGUCCGGGUCCGGGGCCAGGUGCGAUACAGCGGUCGCGAAUGCGUGCCGAGAGCAUCGAACGCCAAGCCAGGCGCAACAUGCGUGAAAAAAUUGUUGACUUUGACUUUUCGCAUCACAAAAGCACUGAGAAUAUCAGCACGCUGCUGGAAUCGGCCGCUUCCCAUGGACAUUUGCAUCCAACGAAAUCAUGCUUCAAGCAUCAACAGAUACAAGUCAACACCUGCACUGCCACCUAUGGACCGCUGGCCGGGACGCCCUCGCGAACGGGCUCGUCCAGCACGUCGCCCAAGUACUUGCACGGCGGCUGCCGUCAGUGCGGCCACAGCAAAUGCACACGCGCCCAAAGCCUGGAGAAGGAGGAGCGCGACGCCGCUCUGAUAUUGCUGCGGGGCAGCAAUAGCCGCCUGUCUACUGCCAACCAACUGCAGCAACCGCAACGCGGUAGCUGUUCGAAUCUGGUGCGACAGCACUCAAACGAAAGCCAAGCGGAGCGACAGCUGUCCACUGGCUCCACGCAACGUAUAUCGCUGUACGAUGCACACAAGCUGAGCAAGGUGCUUGGCAGCGCUAAUGUUUCGCCCACGCCCUCGGCUAGCUCCUCGUUGCAUAGACGCCACAAGUCGCCCAGCUUGCGGCUGCGCGAGUGCGUCACCUGCGCGGAUGUCUUCCUGGAGGCCAUGGGCAAUGCCUGCACACUAAAGAACAACAACUCCAGCAGAUAUGGCAAACUGUUUGACAUUGAAAUCGACUUCAAGGGAGAUCCCAUGGGCGUGCACAUAACCCACUACUCGCAUCACGGAUACCAUGAUUGGCGAGCGCAAUUUUCACAUAUUUUAUCAGUUGCUGUUGGGCGCGGAUCUUCAGUUACUAAAAUCUCUGAAGUUGUUUCGCAAUGUGGAAAAGUAUGAACUGCUGCGGAAUACAACUGCCAUGGAAGAGGAUCGUGCCAACUUUCAUUACACAAAGCGUUCACUAGACGUGCUUGGUUUGAGCUGUGAUGAGACCAACUCUAUUUUUCGAGUUAUUGCCGUGGUCCUGAAGCUGGGCA